ensembl:lncRNA
AUUAUGAGUCCUGAAAAUCCUUUGUCAUUUUAUUACAUCACUGGAAGCGAAGACCCACCAAGUGUGCUUUGUUUACACAGAAUAUCCUUCAAAAGAUUGAGAGAUGACAGACCAGAUGGCAGUCCCGUUGGAAGUGAUCUAAGAAGCUCUGGUAUCACCACUCCUGCCCUGGUUCCACAUCUGCACAUUAACUCAAUGUGGUUGCUUGAAUCUGUGGAAGCGGGACCUUGGCUACUGUGGGAACACUGUUUUCUAAAAGGGAAUUGAGCAUCUCUGGAUUCUGGUAUUCAAGCAGGUUGGUGCUGGUGGUAGAGUGUCCUGGAACCAAUCACGGAAAUGGCAACCCACUCCAGUGUUCUUGCCUGGAGAAUCCCAGGGACGGGGGAGCCCGGUGGGAGGCUGUCUAUGGGUUCACACAGAGUUGGACACGACUGAGCGACUUCACUUUCACUUUCACUUUAUGAACUACACACCGGCUUCCCUAGUGGCUCAGACGGUAAAUAAUCUGCCUGCAAUUCGGAAGACUUGGGUUCGAUCCCUGGGUUGGGAAGAUCCCUUGGUGCACGGCAUGGCAACCCACUCCAGUAUUCUUGCCUGGAGAAUCUCCUUGACAGGGAAGCCUGGCGGGCUACAGUCCAUGGGGUUGCAAAGAGUCGGACAGGACUGAGCAGCUAACCACAGCGCAGCACAUGAACUACACACUG